rnacentral:tRNA from 1 species
GGGGCAUUGGCGCAGUUGGUAGCGCAUCUGCUUUGCAAGCAGAGGGUCACCGGUUCGAGCCCGGUAUGCUCCA